UACGGGGGGGGCAAGCGUUGUUCGGAAUUACUGGGCGUAAAGGGCUCGUAGGCGGCCAACUAAGUCGGAUGUGAAAUCCCCAGGCUCAACCCGGGAACUGCGUCCGAUACUGGCAGGCUUGAAUCCGGGAGAGGGAUGCGGAAUUCCAGGUGUAGCGGUGAAAUGCGUAGAUAUCUGGAGGAACACCGGUGGCGAAGGCGGCAUCCUGGACCGGCAUUGACGCUGAGGCGCGAAAGCCAGGGGAGCAAACGGG
rnacentral:rRNA from 1 species